rnacentral:rRNA from 1 species
UUGGAGGGCAAGUCUGGUGCCAGCAGCCGCGGUAAUUCCAGCUCCAAUAGCGUAUAUUAAAGUUGUUGCAGUUAAAAAGCUCGUAGUUGAAUUUCGGGGUCAGUAGGCUGGUCGUGCCAACGGUACGUACUGGUCUUAUUGAUUCCUCCUUCCUGAUGAACCGUAAUGCCAUUAAUUUGGUGUUGCGGGGAAUCUGGACUGUUACUUUGAAAAAAUUAGAGUGUUUAAAGCAGGCUAACGCUUGAAUACAUUAGCAUGGAAUAAUGAAAUAGGACGAUCGAUCCUAUUUUGUUGGUUUCUAGGAUUGACGUAAUGAUUAAUAGGGAUAGUUGGGGGCAUUAGUAUUCAAUUGUCAGAGGUGAAAUUCUUGGAUUUAUUGAAGACUAACUACUGCGAAAGCAUUUGCCAAGGAUGUUUUCAUUAAUCAAGAACGAAAGUUAGGGGAUCGAAGACGAUCAGAUACCGUCGUAGUCUUAACCAUAAACUAUGCCGACUAGGGAUCGGAUGAUGUUAAUUUUUUAAUGACUCAUUCGGCGCCUUACGGGAAA